UUGAAUAAAUGUUUGCAAUUGACCCAGUGACAAAUUUCAAGAGCUGGGCCACAAGCUCUCCCAUGACUAUUCAUUUGCCUGUUACCUGUCUUCGGCUUUGGAAGGCGCUUCACUCGUCUACAAUCUCCUGAACUGUCUUCACGUUGGAGUGUGGCUGUGGGCUAGACGAGGGGCAGGGCUCUGACCACCCGGACACCUGUCAUUUCUCAGCAGAGUUGAGGCAGGCCCUGGAGCCUGUUCUCUGUCUUUGCAGCUGCAGUGCAUGGCAGAAGCUGUCCAGGGCAAUGAUGGAUUUCAGGUUUCUUCUUUUGAAGGACAUGGCCUGGCUAAUGCAACACCUCCUUCCUGAAAAUGAUGCAUUUCUAGGUUUCCCACUUAACGGACCACAGAACAUGCCAGGUGUCCCAGGACCACGUUGGACCAUGUGAUCUCAGUAGUGUGGGUGCAGCAGCUUCAGCUCUCCAGACCCAACACCCCAGGAGAUGGUGAUGCAGCAAGGCGGAAGAAACUGCAUGAAACAGAGCUGCGUCCCCCACCUGGACAGCUCUCCCUGGACCUAGUAC